AUUGAACGCUGGCGGCAGGCCUAACACAUGCAAGUCGAACGAGUGGCGGACGGGGAAGUAAUGUCUGGGAAACUGCCUGAUGGAGGGUGAUAACUACUGGAAACGGUAGCUAAUACAGCAUACCAUACGAUGUGCCCAGAUGGGAGUAGCUUGUUGGUGGGGUAACGGCUCACCAAGGCGACGAUCCCUAGCUGUUCUGAGAGGAUGACCAGCAACACUGGAACGUAGACACGUUCCAGACUCCUACGGGAGGAAGCAGUGGGGAAGAUUGAACAAUGGGCGUAAGCCUGAUGCAGCCAUGCCGCGUGUAUGAAGAAGGCCUUCGGGUUGUAAAGUACUUUCAGCGGGGAGGCGUGACCCGCAGAAGAAGCACCGGCUAACUCCGUGACAGCAGCCGCGGUAAUAC
rnacentral:rRNA from 1 species